rnacentral:rRNA from 1 species
CACAGAGGAGGCAAGCGUUAUCCGGAAUUAUUGGGCGUAAAGCGUCCGUAGGUGGUUUGGCAAGUCUGGGGUUAAAGCCCGGAGCCUAACUCCGGAUCGGCCCUGGAAACUGCCAGACUAGAGUAAGGUAGGGGUUGCGGGAAUUCCCGGUGUAGCGGUGAAAUGCGUAGAUAUCGGGAAGAACACCAGUGGCGAAAGCGCGCAACUGGGCCAUUACUGACACUGAGGGACGAAAGCUAGGGGAGCAAACGGG